CCUUUCGGUAAAGAAGUUCUUCCUAAUACCCAACCUAAAGGAUUCCAAUACCUGCUUGUCUUGCAAUACAACUGUUGCUAAUUCCAGCUAUGAAGAGAUGACUAGAGAUCUUGGAUCUGUCCUGGCUCGGUGCCUCUUAUUGAUUCCUGUUUGGAUUAAAGCCAGGAACGGAGCUCAGCAUUCCUGAUCAUCGACCUCCUGUUGCUGGUUGUGCAGCAUCCUAGCAAAAUGCGUGCGGAAUCGCGCUCCAGGUGUGAAUCGUCAGCGAGGCUCAGGCUCAUCCUCCGGUUCCA